UGUUUCCCAGGGGAGAUCCUCCUAGUGCUGCCACAGGGGCAUGAACCAGCUCUGAUGCCACAAGAGAUGGAAACUGGGCAAGCAGGAGAGUUUUUCCAGGGUGGGAUUAAAAUGUAAUCAAUUCCACCAGAGGCCCUGCCUACCAUGGCUGUGCAGGGCUCCCGUCCCACAGCCCUCUAGUCCCCUUCCCCUGCCCACCUCCAUGGAAAACACCUUCACAGGGAGACGCUGGGAGCUUUUAAUAGAAAAUCAGAAGUUUAAAUUGGCACAUCAGCAGCUGAGGGAUGGCAGGAAGUCACCUGGCAGAAGCUCACAUGGGCAGAAUUUUUCCCAAAUGCCAGGCAGACUUCUGGUAGCAGAGGGCUCCUUUUGAACAAUUUCUCAUUGCAACAGCCACAAAAGAGAAGCAAUGACAAAGUCACUGGCUGGUAAGGCUGGCCCUCGCACCGGUCUCCAAUUGCAUCGCUCACCGAAGCACAGCCGCACCCUGGCCCACGGCAGCAAGAAGAUGCCAGCCUUGGGAAGCGUCCAGGGGUUUAUCUGCUGGUGGUGCUGCCCCUGGCUCGGCACAGCCGGCAGGGAGGAGCCCGGGAGUGCCCUGAGCCUCUGUCCUGUGUAAUCUAUAGCGUUUUGCUGGAAGAGAGGGUUGAAGGGUGAAUUAAAGCCUUCUCCUGA